UACGAAGGGGGCAAGCGUUGUCCGGAAUUACUGGGCGUAAAGGGCUCGUAGGCGGCCAACUAAGUCAGACGUGAAAUCCCUCGGCUUAACUGGGGAACUGCGUCUGAUACUGGAUGGCUUGAGAUUGGGAGAGGGAUGCGGAAUUCCAGGUGUAGCGGUGAAAUGCGUAGAUAUCUGGAGGAACACCGGUGGCGAAGGCGGCGUUCUGGACUGCAACUGACACUGAGGAACGAAAGCCAGGGGAGCAAACGGG
rnacentral:rRNA from 1 species